rnacentral:misc_RNA from 1 species
AUCUUGAAUCAUCUUACGAACAUUCCUUGGAUCUUGUUGUUAUUGUUUAUUUCCAUCAUCCCCUCGCUCUUCAAAAGGAUUCGUCCUUGAAUCUGCACCUACAUCAAAAGGGGAAAGAUUAGCAACAUUAAAAGUAGCACUUACAUUGUAUUCACCAGGGAGAUCCAACUUAUAAGCAUUGUUAUUAAUCUUGGCCACCACUUGA